rnacentral:rRNA from 1 species
AACGAACGCUGGCGGCGUGCUUAAGACAUGCAAGUCGAACGCAGUCUUCGGACUGAGUGGCGCACGGGCGAGUAACACGUAACUGACCUACCCCCCAGUCGCGGAUAACUGGCCGAAAGGUCAGCCAAUACGUUAUGUGAUGUCCCCUUUCUGGGGGGCCAUUAAAGGUUUACUGCUUGGGGAUGGGGUUGCGUUCCAUCAGCUAGUUGGCGGGGUAAAGGCCCACCAAGGCAACGACGGAUAGCCGGCCUGAGAGGGUGGCCGGCCACAGGGGCACUGAGACACGGGUCCCACUCCUACGGGAGGCAGCAGUUAGGAAUCUUCCACAAUGGGCGAAAGCCUGAUGGAGCGACGCCGCGUGAGGGAUGAAGGUUCUCGGAUCGUAAACCUCUGAAUCAGGGACGAAAGACGCGUAAGCGGGAUGACGGUACCUGAGUAAUAGCACCGGCUAACUCCGUGCCAGCAGCCGCAGUAA